CAGCCGUAAACUAAUGCGCGUUAGGUGUAUCGGUGACCACGAGUUACCGAGGUGCCGAAGGGAAACCGUGAAACGUGCCGCCUGGGAAGUACGGUCGCAAGGCUGAAACUUAAAGGAAUUGGCGGGGGAGGCACCACAACAGGUGGAGCCUGCGGUUUAAUUGGACUCAACGCCGGGAAGCUCACCGGAUAGGACAGCAGAAUGAUUGCCGGGCUGAAGACCCUGCAUGACUAGCUGAGAGGAGGUGCAUGGCGUAGACGUCU
rnacentral:rRNA from 1 species